rnacentral:misc_RNA from 1 species
UUUCCGUAGGUGAACCUGCGGAAGGAUCAUUGCACACACAAAGUUGCAGCAAACCCUUUGCGAAUCAAAACAACCGUCCCCUCCUCUUUGGUCUUGGUGGAAAUUGGGCCACUUUACUGUGUCCCGGUCUCUCCUUGGCCAAGGGGGAACCCAAGUCCCUCCCUCCCUUCCCCGGAAGGCAGUGAGUGUGGCUUGGCAACCACAACCGAUUGCGCAAUGCAUCAACACUUUCAAUAUGACUGAGUAUAAAAAUUUCGGCGCCUUCGGCGCCCGAGUUGUAAUAAACAAAAACAACUCUCAGCAACGGAUAUCUUGGCUCUU